rnacentral:rRNA from 1 species
GACGAACCGUGCGAACGUUGUUCGGAAUCACUGGGCUUAAAGGGCGCGUAGGCGGCUUGCCAAGUCAGUGGUGAAAUCCUGCAGCUUAACUGCAGAAGUGCCUUUGAUACUGGCGAGCUCGAGGGAGGUAGGGGUAUGUGGAACUUCUGGUGGAGCGGUGAAAUGCGUUGAUAUCAGGAGGAACACCGGUGGCGAAGGCGGGUCUCUGGGCCGAUACUGACGCUGAGGAGCGAAAGCGUGGGGAGCGAACAGG